UUGCGGGAUCCCUAUCAGGGAUCCUAAAGGAUCCCGAAGGGGAUAUGUUUAAAUUAAAUACAGUAUUGUCACAUAUGUGCCCUCUCUUGCUCUUAGAGCAAUAAAAUUUAACUAAUUGCUGGAAACUCUUGUCAUUAUAAGAAAAUCAGCAGGAAACCAAAGGAUGGAUAAAUAUCUUAGUAGGAUCUCCAGAGACUAUACGUUAAAGAUUAAUACGUUAACUCUAUAUUAACCUAUUAAUUAAGAUAUAGUCCAAUUAUUAUUAGUGGUAUGG
rnacentral:ncRNA from 1 species